GAUGAACGCUGGCGGCGUGCCUAAUACAUGCAAGUCGAGCGAACAGACGAGGAGCUUGCUCCUCUGACGUUAGCGGCGGACGGGUGAGUAACUCGUGGAUAACCUACCUAUAAGACUGGGAUAACUUCGGGAAACCGUAGCUAAUACCGGAUAAUAUAUUGAACCGCAUGGUUCAAUAGUGAAAGACGGUUUUGCUGUCACUUAUAGAUUGAUCCGCGCCGCAUUAGCUAGUUGGUAAGGUAACGGCUUACCAAGGCAACGAUGCGUAGCCGACCUGAGAGGGUGAUCGGCCACACUGGAACUGAGACACGGUCCAGACUCCUACGGGAGGCAGCAGUAGGGAAUCUUCCGCAAUGGGCGAAAGCUUGACGGAGCAACGCCGCGUGAGUGAUGAAGGUCUUCGGAUCGUAAAACUCUGUUAUUAGGGAAGAACAAAUGUGUAAGUAACUAUGCACGUCUUGACGGUACCUAAUCAGAAAGCCACGGCUAACUACGUG
rnacentral:rRNA from 1 species